GAGACGGCGCCGCAAUCCCAUUUAGGAGACGCCGGCGAUCACGCCCAGGAUCCGACGGCGAUCCCCUUCUGGACAUGCACAUCCUCUCGUACGCACGACUUGCAUUCAUCCCUACGCUAAUUUCGUCCCUUCGCCACCGCCGAUCCCUGCGGAGCUUCCCUCCCCAAUCCGAUCUGACGAAGAGAGUGCCAGAUCCGGCCGAGGGAGCCGCCGUACAGCCUCCACAUCGGUGGACCAGCACCUCCUGCCACGGGUGCCGCCGCCACCUCCUGCCUCACGACCCUUUGCCGUGACUCCGCCCCCAAGCGCCACUCCCGCAUGCAACCCUAACCCUAUCCCUCCAUGCCUCGCUGCCUCACCGAUUGAGCCGCGCUGAUGGAGCCCGAGCAGCGGUGGCCGACCCCGUCGCCGCCGCCGAGCCUGUGGACAAGGAGAAGGAGGAGGAGACGGAGGCGGCCGAGGACGAGGAGGACACACUGCUAGACCGCGCGCAGCCUGAUCUCACGGGUCCCUUUGUACAUGUGCAGUUCGUCAAUGGACCAAUGCCUAAUCUCCCCAAGGUUGAUGUUUCAUUGGACCCAGUGAAGGAGUUGAGCAGAGUAAUAUCUGAGCGAAAAAAUUGAGGGGCGUGCUUUGGUUGUGCUCUCAGCCAGGUUAUUUUACGAGGGUUGUGUGCACUGAACCCCAUUUCUCUGGACCAAGGGACGAUGAAAAGGAUGGGAAUGAGGACGAUGCGACCUAUAGAUGGUUGCUAUGGAUCGGGAGGGUGAUACUGAACAUCAGUUUACUACUAAUCCGGAGUAGUAAUAUUGGAUUACAGGUCAUGGGUUAGUAGUUAACUACAGAAAUCAGAAUAUUGGAUAGCAGUAACUAAGGCCAUUGGCAAUUUCUAUCAUAUAUCAUUAUUUAUUUGUGUGAUUCCUUUACCAACUACAUGUUUCUAUUUGUUUCCUAUAUUUUGUUUGUUCCUGAAUAUUUUAUGAAUUGUGUAUUUCUAUUUUAAUACAUAAGAGUCUUUUUCAUGCAAUUUACUCAAUGGCCUAUAUAAGAAGCCCUAAAUAAAGCUAUUCCUCAUUUGUACACUUUCUUACUUAUAUAGAUCAAAAUAUGGAAUUCUCUGCAGGUUAACUAAUACAUGCAUCAGCUUUGUAUCAUAAAGAUUUCACCAUCCCAAGGUAAUGGAAAUAAGUUCACAAGAUUCUCAUGUUGAGGUUUGUACAAAGAGAUACAAGGCAAUGUCUGUGUGCUGGAAGGAGAAACUCACUGCCAAAGCUAUAAUCCCUGAUGCUAAAGCCUGCAUGUUCAGAUCUGUAGAGUUUACUCAUAUUACUGUAUGAAUGAUUAAUACAGAGGGAGCCCUUUUGUCAGGUCAUUUAAUCAUUUAAUCAUAGGUACAUUAUCUCAGGUAACUUACUACUACCUUUGUUCGAAAAUAAGUGUCGUUAACUUAGUACACCUUUGCACUAAAAUUGUACUAAAUCCGUGACACUUAUUUUGGGACAGAGGGAGUAUUUCAUUUUCUACCUGAACCAAGUUGUUAUUUCAUUUCUAAGAGGCAAAGAGUUCCUCCUGGUUAGUUUGCCACAUUUUAUAUGUCUAUCUAUGUGCAUUACUAAUUCACUAUAUGCACAUUUAGUUCCCACUUUUGGCUCACUUUCUUGAUGCAUCUCGUAUGAGAGGAAAGGAAUGGAAAAUCUGACAAGCAAUGUUCGGGCAUACCCUUAUAUUUACGUCUGAUGAAAUGCUGCGGGUGCAAACUAAAAGACUGGUGCCAUGAGCAAAAGUGCAGACAUUACUUAUGAGAAAACAAUAAAAGAAUCUUCCAUGACUACAGACCACGACGAGUCAAAGACAAUGAAAGCACUACUCCAUUGGUGGUGUUAGCAAGUGGAGUCUGGAGGGAGAACAACACAAAGUAGGAAAUUGAUUCCCUCGCCCUCGCUUGCUUCAACGACCCCGCCCGUCUUGGUGGGGUCGAUUCCCCCAUCGCUCGACUCAUCUCCGACGAGUAUGGCGUCAAUGGGUACGCCCCGCCGCUCAUAUGCUUGGCGGGUCCCAGAACACCCGUGAUGUGUAUGAGCUUGACUAGGGCGAGGGGCUCGUGCUCGUGCUCGUGCUCGAGCUCGACAAGACACACUUCGAUCUCAUCACCAACAACGAGAUGGACUGUGAGACUCCAGAGCAGGCAGGGAUGAACGAAGACGAAAGUGGGGGCAGUUCGAGCUUGUCGCUCCCGAAGACCCUGGAGAGGUGCACGAAGAGACCUGGUUAGAUUUGUUGGCCACCACUGGUAAACUGCACUAAUAACAAAUCGGUUGUCAUCUCUCAUGUUGCCGAUUCAACCCUGGACGAUGUUGCGCGGCUCGCGGCCAUGGACAAUGUGUUGUUGGACAACGACGCGAGGCCGAGGCAGCCAACGUGAAUGACCACUGGGUAUGUAAUGCCCCUCCCCCCCAAAAAAGUCCCUUAGUGACCUUGAGCCAAAAGGGAUCAGAAAAUACAAUUGCAAGCAUAUGAACAUGGCAAAAACAUAAU